UGGGGAUUGAGAAAGAGUAGAAAUGCCACAAGCCUCAAUAGCAGGUUUAAGAGCCUCGAUACGCUCAAAGUCAAAAUAAUCAGCGUGACAUUCAGAAGGGUAAUAAGAACGAACCAUAAAAAAGCCUCCAAGAUUUGGAGGCAUGAAAACAUACAAUUGGGAGGGUGUCAAUCCUGACGGUUAUUUCCUAGACAAAUUAGAGCCAAUACCAUCAGCUUUACCGUCUUUCCAGAAAUUGUUCCAAGUAUCGGCAACAGCUUUAUCAAUACCAUGAAAAAUAUCAACCACACCAGAAGCAGCAUCAGUGACGACAUUAGAAAUAUCCUUUGCAGUAGCGCCAAUAUGAGAAGAGCCAUACCGCUGAUUCUGCGUUUGCUGAUGAACUAA
rnacentral:rRNA from 1 species